UCGAGAAUCUUCGGCAAUGGGGGAAACCCUGACCGAGCGACGCCGCGUGUGAGAUGAAGGCCUUCGGGUUGUAAAUCACUGUCAGUGGGGAGGAAAUGCAGAUGGGUUCUCCCAUUUGUUUGACCUAUCCGCAGAGGAAGGACGGGCUAAGUUCGUGCCAGCAGCCGCGGUAAGACGAACCGUCCAAACGUUAUUCGGAAUCACUGGGCUUAAAGGGUGCGUAGGCGGUCCGGGAAGUUGGGUGUGAAAGUCCUCGGCUCAACCGAGGAAUUGCGUCCAAAACUGCCGGACUUGAGGGAGACAUAGGUGGGCGGAACCUAGGGUGGAGCGGUGAAAUGCGUUGAGAUCCUUGGGAACAGCAGUAGGGAAAGCGGCACACUGGGUCUCUUCUGACGCUGAUGCACGAAAGCUAGGGGAGCGAAGA
rnacentral:rRNA from 1 species